CGGCAACAAUGAUGAAAUAUUGUUCUGUAUGUAAUGCAUCAAUUACUAAUUGAAGACAACAGUCCCUCUAAACUGAUGUUGCCU